rnacentral:rRNA from 2 species
CUCUGGUAUUGAUUGGUGCUUGCAUCAUGAUUUACAUUUGAGUGAGUGGCGAACUGGUGAGUAACACGUGGGAAACCUGCCCAGAAGCGGGGGAUAACACCUGGAAACAGAUGCUAAUACCGCAUAACAACUUGGACCGCAUGGUCCGAGUUUGAAAGAUGGCUUCGGCUAUCACUUUUGGAUGGUCCCGCGGCGUAUUAGCUAGAUGGUGGGGUAACGGCUCACCAUGGCAAUGAUACGUAGCCGACCUGAGAGGGUAAUCGGCCACAUUGGGACUGAGACACGGCCCAAACUCCUACGGGAGGCAGCAGUAGGGAAUCUUCCACAAUGGACGAAAGUCUGAUGGAGCAACGCCGCGUGAGUGAAGAAGGGUUUCGGCUCGUAAAACUCUGUUGUUAAAGAAGAACAUAUCUGAGAGUAACUGUUCAGGUAUUGACGGUAUUUAACCAGAAAGCCACGGCUAACUACGUGCCAGCAGCCGCGGUAAUACGUAGGUGGCAAGCGUUGUCCGGAUUUAUUGGGCGUAAAGCGAGCGCAGGCGGUUUUUUAAGUCUGAUGUGAAAGCCUUCGGCUCAACCGAAGAAGUGCAUCGGAAACUGGGAAACUUGAGUGCAGAAGAGGACAGUGGAACUCCAUGUGUAGCGGUGAAAUGCGUAGAUAUAUGGAAGAACACCAGUGGCGAAGGCGGCUGUCUGGUCUGUAACUGACGCUGAGGCUCGAAAGUAUGGGUAGCAAACAGGAUUAGAUACCCUGGUAGUCCAUACCGUAAACGAUGAAUGCUAAGUGUUGGAGGGUUUCCGCCCUUCAGUGCUGCAGCUAACGCAUUAAGCAUUCCGCCUGGGGAGUACGGCCGCAAGGCUGAAACUCAAAGGAAUUGACGGGGGCCCGCACAAGCGGUGGAGCAUGUGGUUUAAUUCGAAGCUACGCGAAGAACCUUACCAGGUCUUGACAUACUAUGCAAAUCUAAGAGAUUAGACGUUCCCUUCGGGGACAUGGAUACAGGUGGUGCAUGGUUGUCGUCAGCUCGUGUCGUGAGAUGUUGGGUUAAGUCCCGCAACGAGCGCAACCCUUAUUAUCAGUUGCCAGCAUUAAGUUGGGCACUCUGGUGAGACUGCCGGUGACAAACCGGAGGAAGGUGGGGAUGACGUCAAAUCAUCAUGCCCCUUAUGACCUGGGCUACACACGUGCUACAAUGGAUGGUACAACGAGUUGCGAACUCGCGAGAGUAAGCUAAUCUCUUAAAGCCAUUCUCAGUUCGGAUUGUAGGCUGCAACUCGCCUACAUGAAGUCGGAAUCGCUAGUAAUCGCGGAUCAGCAUGCCGCGGUGAAUACGUUCCCGGGCCUUGUACACACCGCCCGUCACACCAUGAGAGUUUGUAACACCCAAAGUCGGUU